rnacentral:rRNA from 1 species
GACGAACGCUGGCGGCGUGCCUAAUACAUGCAAGUCGAGCGCAGGAAACUGACGGAACUCUUCGGAGGGAAGGCAGUGGAAUGAGCGGCGGACGGGUGAGUAACACGUAAGGAACCUGCCUCAAGGAUUGGGAUAACUCCGAGAAAUCGGAGCUAAUACCGGAUAGUUCAACGGACCGCAUGGCCCGAUGAUGAAAGGCGCUCCGGCGUCACCUUGAGAUGGCCUUGCGGUGCGUUAGCUAGUUGGUGGGGUAACGGCCCACCAAGGCGACGAUGCAUAGCCGACCUGAGAGGGUGAUCGGCCACACUGGGACUGAGACACGGCCCAGACUCCUACGGGAGGCAGCAGUAGGGAAUCUUCCACAAUGGACGAAAGUCUGAUGGAGCAACGCCGCGUGAGUGAUGAAGGUUUUCGGAUCGUAAAACUCUGUUGUAAGGGAAGAACACGUACGAGAGGAAAUGCUCGUACCUUGACGGUACCUUACGAGAAAGCCACGGCUAACUACGUGCCAGCCGCCGCAGUAAAAC